rnacentral:tRNA from 1 species
UUUAACUUGGCAGAAUUAAUGCAUCUGAUUUAGGUUCAGUAAAUAGUAACUUUACUAGUUGGUA